rnacentral:rRNA from 1 species
GAUUGAACGCUGGCGGCAGGCCUAACACAUGCAAGUCGAGCGGUAGAGAGAAGCUUGCUUCUCUUGAGAGCGGCGGACGGGUGAGUAAUGCCUAGGAAUCUGCCUGGUAGUGGGGGAUAACGUUCGGAAACGGACGCUAAUACCGCAUACGUCCUACGGGAGAAAGCAGGGGACCUUCGGGCCUUGCGCUAUCAGAUGAGCCUAGGUCGGAUUAGCUAGUUGGUGGGGUAAUGGCUCACCAAGGCGACGAUCCGUAACUGGUCUGAGAGGAUGAUCAGUCACACUGGAACUGAGACACGGUCCAGACUCCUACGGGAGGCAGCAGUGGGGAAUAUUGGACAAUGGGCGAAAGCCUGAUCCAGCCAUGCCGCGUGUGUGAAGAAGGUCUUCGGAUUGUAAAGCACUUUAAGUUGGGAGGAAGGGCAGUAAAUUAAUACUUUGCUGUUUUGACGUUACCGACAGAAUAAGCACCGGCUAACUCUGUG